rnacentral:lncRNA from 1 species
GUGGGUCUAGUGAAGGACGAAAACCUAAGAACUUUGGAAGAUAGCUUGGAACUAGAGGUAAGGGGUUUAACUUGGGAUAUAAUAUAGUGUAUGAUGGGUAGAAGGUAACAUGAUAAUAUUGAUGCAUGUUUCUUUUUUAUGUUGAGAUUAAAGUUAAUAUGUUGAGGCAUGCUCUCUNUUUUUGUGUUUAGUUUCAUGUGUUGUUGUAUGGAGAAUGAUUAUUUUUCAUGCAUUUUCAAAAUGGGGUUGUGAAGGGGUAUACUUUGGGUUGUAUAUAUAUAUAUAUAUAUAUAUAGUGGUUUUCGUUUUUUGGUAGUUAUGGGUAUACCUUGAACUUUAUAUGUUGGCUUUUCAAAAAGUGUUGUUAAAAUGGGUAUACAUGUUUUGGGCACUUUGGGGUGAUGUAUGUGUAUGAAAAAGUUUUAUGGGUACACUUAAAAUCAUGUUAUAUUUUGUGCAUCUUGUUUCCUUAUUACCAUGUAUGAAUUAUAGUAUUUUGUGGGAUGCUUAUCUACACUCUUUGACCAAGAGUGUGGGUAGGAUGGUAUUGAGAGUUUGAGGGUUCUCUUCCAUUGUUGGAAGAGAAAAAGUGAGUCAUGGGUUUGAGAAGAGAUAAUUUGAGACUUUGGUAAGUUGGGGUACAUGGGGUUGAUGAAAAACAGUGAAAAAAGAAUGGAAUUUUUGGUGUCUUGUGUGGAAGAAGAACAUGAAGAAAGAAGAUGGAAGCGGAAGGUGGAGAUGGACACAUUACAACUCACUUAAAAGAGGCAAAGGAAAAGGUAGAAGACUUGGAGUUGGUGUGGAGAUGCAUGGAAUUUUCGUAAAGAGGGUUGAAAAAAAAAAUGAAGAAGAGGUGACGUGAAGCAAGAAGAAGAAAAAGAAGAAUGGAAUGGUGUGGGUAUGUUGGUUACAUGAAUGUACGCAGAGAGUGAAGAGGGAAAAAUUAAAAUAAAAGAACAUGUGUGUGUAGUUAACGUGAAAAGAAGGGAUGUGGUGAGAGAUGAGUGUUUGAAAAGUCAAAAUAAAAUUAAAGAGUGUGUGAGAUAGAAGUGUGCAACGUAAGUGUAGUGAGAGAGAGUGAAUAUAAGAAAAAAAAAUAAAAGAGUGGUGUGUGAGAUGGUGUGGGGUCGUGGCAUUUAAUGUAGAAAAGAGAGAAGGAAAGAAAAGAGUAGGAGAGGUGUGUGCAUGGGAGUGUUCUACGUGAAGUGAGAUAAAGUGGGAAGUGGAGUCAUGGUUUUGUAAGAAAAGAGGAGUGAGGUGAAUUUUGGUUUAAUUGAAAAAAAUAAAUGAAUAAAUAAAUAAAAGAGAAAAAUAGGAAGAAAGGAAGGUCCGUAAAAGAAAAAAAAAUGGAGAGAGGAAGAGAUUUUUGUGAGAAAAGAGUAAUUCAAGUGGGGUCCACUUGGAGAGAGAAAAAAAAAUAUAAAGUUUGAGUUUAAAAUUAAAAAGAUUAAUGGGGUCCAAUUGGGUUGGUAAAUUUAAGAGAGGGGGUGUAUUUAAAAUAAAAAGGGGUACAUUAAAAAGGGUUUUAUUUUUGUGUUGUGAUUUUAGUAAAAGCGGGGGUGCACUAGAAAUAUUGGUUCUAGUGGAAUGGAAGGGUGAGAUUAAUAAUUUCACGGGGGUGCGCAAG